CCUACGGGUGGCUGCAGUGGGGAAUAUUGGACAAUGGGCGCAAGCCUGAUCCAGCAAUGCCGCGUGUGUGAAGAAGGCCUGCGGGUUGUAAAGCACUUUGAGUGGGGAAGAAGGCCUGGGGGUUAAUAGCUUCUGGGAUUGACGUUACCCACAGAACAAGCACCGGCUAACUCCGUGCCAGCAGCCGCGGUAAUACGGAGGGUGUACGGGUUAAUCGGAAUUACUGGGCGUAUGAAUCAGUCUGAUGGUUAAGCCCUGGGCUUAACCUGGGAACUGCAUUGGAUACUGUUUGACUGGAGUGUGGUAGAGGGGUGUGGAAUUUCCGGUGUAGCAGUGAAAUGCGUAGAGAUCGGAAGGAACACCAGUGGCGAAGGCGGCACCCUGGACCGACACUGACGCUGAGGUGCGAAAGCGUGGGGAGCAAACAGGAUUAGAUACCCGAGUAGUC
rnacentral:rRNA from 1 species